UUAGAAGCAGCCAUCAUUUAAAGAAAGCGUAAUAGCUCACUGGUCGAGUCGGCCUGCGCGGAAGAUGUAACGGGGCUAAACCAUGCACCGAAGCUGCGGCAGCGACGCUUAUGCGUUGUUGGGUAGGGGAGCGUUCUGUAAGCCUGCGAAGGUGGCCUGUGAGGGUUGCUGGAGGUAUCAGAAGUGCGAAUGCUGACAUAAGUAACGAUAAAGCGGGUGA
rnacentral:rRNA from 1 species